rnacentral:rRNA from 1 species
AUUGAACGCUGGCGGCAGGCCUAACACAUGCAAGUCGAACGAGUGGCGGACGGGUGAGUAAUGUCUGGGAAACUGCCCGAUGGAGGGGGAUAACUACUGGAAAAGGUAGCUAAUACCGCAUACCAUCAGAUGUGCCCAGAUGGGAUUAGCUAGUAGGUGGGGUAACGGCUCACCUAGGCGACGAUCCCUAGCUGGUCUGAGAGGAUGACAAGCCACACUGGAACUGGGACACGGUCCAGACUCGUACGGGAGGCAGAAGUGGGGAAUAUUGCACAAUGUGCGCAAGCCUGAUGCAGCCAUGCCGCGUGUAGGAAGAAGGCCUGCGGGUUGUAAAGUACUUUCAGCGGGGAGGCGUUACCCGCAGAAGAAGCACCGGCUAACUCCGUGCCAGCCGCCGCGGUAAUUC